rnacentral:rRNA from 1 species
UACGGAGGGUGCGAGCGUUGCCUCGGAAUCACUGGGCGUAAUGGGCGCGUAGGCGGCCUGAUAAGUAGGGGGUGAAAUCCUGCGGCUUAACCGCAGGGCUGCCUUCUAAACUGUCAGGCUGGAGCACAGUAGGGGCAGGUGGAAUUCCCGGUGUAGCGGUGGAAUGCGUAGAGAUCGGGAAGAACAUCAGUGGCGAAGGCGGCCUGCUGGGCUGUUGCUGACGCUGAGGCGCGACAGCGUGGGGAGCAAACAGG